rnacentral:rRNA from 1 species
AUUGAACGCUGGCGGUAUGCUUAACACAUGCAAGUCGAACGGUAGCAGAUCUUCGGAUGCUGACGAGUGGCGGACGGGUGAGUAACGCGUAGGAAUCUGCCUAUUAGUGGGGGACAACUUAUGGAAACGUAAGCUAAUACCGCAUACGCCCUACGGGGGAAAGGAGGGGACCUUCGGGCCUUUCGCUAAUAGAUGAGCCUGCGUUAGAUUAGCUAGUUGGUGGGGUAAAGGCCUACCAAGGCGACGAUCUAUAGCUGUUCUGAGAGGAAGAUCAGCAACACUGGGACUGAGACACGGCCCAGACUCCUACGGGAGGCAGCAGUGGGGAAUAUUGGACAAUGGGCGAAAGCCUGAUCCAGCAAUACCGCGUGUGUGAAGAAGGCCUUAGGGUUGUAAAGCACUUUCAAUAGGGAGGAAAAAGAGUAAGCUAAUACCUUGCUUAUUGACAUUACCUAUACAAGAAGCACCGGCUAACUCCGUGCCAGCCGCCGCCGUAAUAC